UUGGAGGGCAAGUCUGGUGCCAGCAGCCGCGGUAAUUCCAGCUCCAAUAGCGUAUAUUAAAGUUGCUGCAGUUAAAAAGCUCGUAGUUGAAUUUCGGGACCAUCAUGUUGGUCGUGCCUCGGUACGUACUGGCAUUGUUGGUUUCUCCCUUCUGACGAACCAUGAUGUCAUUUAUUUGGUGUUGUGGGGAAUCAGGACUGUUACUUUGAAAAAAUUAGAGUGUUUAAAGCAGGCUCACGCUUGAAUACAUUAGCAUGGAAUAAUGAAAUAGGACGUUUGAUUCUAUUUUGUUGGUUUCUAGGAUCGACGUAAUGAUUAAUAGGGAUAGUUGGGGGCAUUAGUAUUAAAUUGUCAGAGGUGAAAUUCUUGGAUUUAUUGAAGACUAACUACUGCGAAAGCAUUUGCCAAGGAUGUUUUCAUUAAUCAAGAACGAAAGUUAGGGGAUCGAAGACGAUCAGAUACCGUCGUAGUCUUAACCAUAAACUAUGCCGACUAGGGAUCUGGAUUGAUGGUAAUUU
rnacentral:rRNA from 1 species